rnacentral:rRNA from 1 species
AUACGUAGGGGGCGAGCGUUGUCCGGAAUGAUUGGGCGUAAAGGGCGCGUAGGCGGCCCGGUAAGUCUGGAGUGAAAGUCCUGUUUUUAAGAUGGGAAUUGCUUUGGAUACUGUCGGGCUUGAGUGCAGGAGAGGUAAGUGGAAUUCCCAGUGUAGCGGUGAAAUGCGUAGAGAUUGGGAGGAACACCAGUGGCGAAGGCGACUUACUGGACUGUAACUGACGCUGAGGCGCGAAAGUGUGGGGAGCAAACAGGAUUAGAUACCCUGGUAGUCCACACUGUAAACGAUGAAUGCUAGGUGUAGGGGGUAUCGACCCCUUCUGUGCCGCAGUCAACACAAUAAGCAUUCCGCCUGGGGAGUACGAUCGCAAGAUUGAAACUCAAAUGAAUUGACGGGG